UUUUAGAUGUUAAAAAUAGUUCAGAAUUCAAUACCAAAUAAGUUUUUAGAUAUUAAAUUUAGUAUUUAAAAAGGGAGCUGAUUUUCUCCGCUUACACUCCCUUUUGCUUUUUAAUUAAUUUUGUACUUUCUCUUUCCUAUUCUAUCAUUAUCCUACGUUAAUUUCUUUUUACUUUACUUUUAUAUUUGUUAAGGCCCAAAAAAAUCACGGGAAGCCCAAAUACAUUCAAAGCCCAAUAUAACAUAUAAUGUUGGUCAUGCGUUAAUUCAAGCUGUAUUUUGAGAAUUAAUUUAUUAAAUAAAUAUAUAAAUAGUGUACAUGCCAUGCCAAAUCAAUAAUACAUUUUUCCUAUGCCAAUCAUGUCAGAUCCCGAGAUCGGCUCCGCCGUAGCACGAUAUUAUCCGCUUUGGGCCCCCCUCUCUGCCCGCACGGUUUUGUUUCUGGGAGCUCACGAGCAACUUCCCAGUGGGUCACCCAUACUGGGAUUGCUCUAGCCCCCAACUCGCUUAACUUCAGAGUUCCUACAACUCCGAAGCCAGUGAGCUCCUAAAAGGCCUUGUGCUAGAUGGAUGCGGGUGUGCACAUAUAAGGCACAUCACCCCCUCUCCGUUGGUUGAUGUGGGAUCUUACAAUCCACCCCCUUAAGGGUCCGACGUCCUCAUCGGCACACUCGCACCACACGGCAGAGUGGCUCUAAUACCAAAUUGUCACACCCCGGGAUCGGCUUCGCCGUAGCACGAUAUUGUCCGCUUUGGGCCCUCCUCUCUGCCCGCACGGUUUUGUUUCUGGGAGCUCACGAGCAACUUCCCAGUGGGUCACCCAUCCUGGGAUUGCUCUAGCCCCCAACUCGCUUAACUUCGAGUUCCUACAACUCCAAAGCCAGUGAGCUCCUAAAAGGCCUUGUGCUAGAUGGAUGCGGGUGUGCACAUAUAAGGCACAUCACCCCCUCUCCGUUGGUUGAUGUGGGAUCUUACAAUCCAC
rnacentral:lncRNA from 1 species